rnacentral:rRNA from 1 species
AUUGAACGCUGGCGGCAUGCUUUACACAUGCAAGUCGAACGGUAACAGGGUGCUUGCACCGCUGACGAGUGGCGAACGGGUGAGUAAUGCGUCGGAACGUGCCGAGUAGUGGGGGAUAACGCAGCGAAAGUUGUGCUAAUACCGCAUACGUACUGAGGUAGAAAGUGGGGGACCUUCGGGCCUCACGCUAUUCGAGCGGCCGACGUCUGAUUAGCUAGUAGGUGAGGUAAAGGCUCACCUAGGCGACGAUCAGUAGCGGGUCUGAGAGGAUGAUCCGCCACACUGGGACUGAGACACGGACCAGACUCCUACGGGAGGCAGCAGUGGGGAAUUUUGGACAAUGGGCGAAAGCCUGAUCCAGCCAUGCCGCGUGUCUGAAGAAGGCCUUCGGGUUGUAAAGGACUUUUGUCAGGGAGGAAAUCCCUAGUGCUAAUAACACUGGGGGAUGACAGUACCUGAAGAAUAAGCACCGGCUAACUAUGUGCCAGCCGCCGCAGUAA